rnacentral:rRNA from 1 species
AAUAGAUACCCCGGUAGUCCACGCCGUAAACGAUGAGUGCUAAGUGUUAGGGGGGUUUCCGCCCCUUAGUGCUGCAGCUAACGCAUUAAGCACUCCGCCUGGGGAGUACGGUCGCAAGACUGAAACUCAAAGGAAUUGACGGGGGCCCGCACAAGCGGUGGAGCAUGUGGUUUAAUUCGAAGCAACGCGAAGAACCUUACCAGGUCUUGACAUCCCGCUGACCGGCCUAGAGAUAGGCUUUUCCCUUCGGGGACAGCGGUGACAGGUGGUGCAUGGUUGUCGUCAGCUCGUGUCGUGAGAUGUUGGGUUAAGUCCCGCAACGAGCGCAACCCUUGAUCUUAGUUGCCAGCAUUCAGUUGGGGCACUCUAAGGUGACUGCCGGUGAUAAACCGGAGGAAGGUGGGGAUGACGUCAAAUCAUCAUGCCCCUUAUGACCUGGGCUACACACGUGCUACAAUGGACGGUACAGAGGGUCGNAACCCCGGCGAGGGUGAGCUAAUCCCAUAAAACCGGUUCUCAGUUCGGAUUGUAGG